rnacentral:rRNA from 1 species
GACGAACGCUGGCGGCGUGCUUAAAACAUGCAAGUCGAACGAAGUGGCGAACGGGUGAGUAACGCGUAAUCAACCUGCCCUUCAGAGGGGGACAACAGUUGGAAACGACUGCUAAUACCGCAUACUGAAGGAGGUGAUUGCGUCUGAUUAGCUAGUUGGGGGGGUAACGGCCCACCAGGGCGAUGAUCAGUAGCCGGUCUGGGAGGAUGACUGGCCACAAUUGGAAUGGGGAACGGCCCAGAAUCCUUCGGGGGGCAGCAGUGGGGAAGUUUCCGCAAUGGAGGGAAGUCUGACGCAGCAACGGCGCGUGGGUGGUGGCGGCCUUCGGGGUGUAAAGCUCUGUUAGUCGGGACGCGGUACCUGAAGAGAAAGCCACGGCUAACUACGUGCCAGCAGCCGCGGUAAUAC